ACAAGUAAUAGAGGAACAAGUUCAGUUGGAUUCUACAACUCUUGUUGAAGAUGAACAAUGUGAAGAACAAGUUGAAGGCCCUUCUAAUCAAACAAGAAAAAGAG